rnacentral:tRNA from 1 species
GCCGAGGUGGCUCAGUGGCAACAGCGUUGGCCUUAGGCCCCAGGGUAUCGCGAGUUCGAAUCUCGCCCUCGGCG